rnacentral:rRNA from 1 species
CCUACGGGAGGCAGCAGUCGGGAAUAUUGCACAAUGGGGGAAACUCUGAUGCAGCGACGCCGCGUGAAGGAAGAAGUAUCUCGGUUUGUAAACUUCUAUCAGCAGGGAAGAAAAUGACGGUACCUGACUAAGAAGCCUCGGCUAACUACGUGCCAGCAGCCGCGGUAAUACGUAGGGGGCAAGCGUUAUCCGGAUUUACUGGGUGGAAAGGGAGCGUAGACGGGAGAACAAGUUUGAUGUGAAAGGCUGGGGCGUAACCCCAGGACUGGAUUGGAAACUAUUUUUCUAGAGUGCCGGAGAGGUAAGCGGAAUUCCUAGUGUAGCGGUGAAAUGCGUAGAUAUUAGGAGGAACACCAGUGGCGAAGGCGGCUUACUGGACGGUAACUGACGUUGAGGCACGAAAGCGUGGGGAGCAAACAGGAUUAGAUACCCCGGUAGUC